GACGAACGCUGGCGGCGUGCUUAACACAUGCAAGUCGAACGGAAAGGCCCUGCUUUUGUGGGGUUCUCGAGUGGCGAACGGGGGAGUAACACGUGAGUAAACCGCCCUUGACUUUGGGAUAACUUCAGGAAACUGGGGCUAAUACCGGGUAGGAGCUCCUGCUGCGCGGUGGGGGUUGGAAAGUUUCGGCUGUUGGGGAUGGACUCGCGGCUUAUCAGCUGGUUGGGCAGGUAGGUGCUGACGAGGGCUUUGACGGGUAGCCGGCCUGGGAGGGUGACCGGCGACAUUGGGCCUACGGUACGGCCCAGACUCCAACGGGCGGCAGCAGUGGGAAAUCUUACACAGUGGGCGCGAGCCUGUGGCAGAAGUGCUGCGAGCGUGAUGCCGGCUUUCUGGUUAUAAACCGCUUUCGCCUGUGACGAAGCGUGAGUGACGGUAAUGGAUCAAGAAGCCCCGGCUAACUACGUG
rnacentral:rRNA from 1 species